GAUGAACGCUAGCGGCAGGCUUAACACAUGCAAGUCGAGGGGCAGCAUACCCGGUGACGGGUGAUGGCGACCGGCGUAAGGGUGAGUAACGCGUGAGCAACAUACCCGUAUCAGUGGGAUAAUACAGGGAAACUUGUUCUAAUAUCACAUAAUAUUAUACAGAGGCAUCUUUGUAUAAUUAAAGUUCAGGCGGAUACGGAAUGGCUCGCGUGACAUUAGCUAGAUGGUAGGGUAAAGGCCUACCAUGGCUAUGAUGUCUAGGGGUUCUGAGAGGGAGGUCCCCCAACUGGAACUGAGACACGGUCCAGACUCCUACGGGAGGCAGCAGUGAGGAAUAUUGGACAAUGGAUGAAAAUCUGAUCCAGCCAUGCCGCGUGCAGGAAGGCGGCCCUAUGGGUUGUAAACUGCUUUUGACGGGAGCAAUAAGGUCUACGAGUAGAUUGAUGAGAGUACUGUACGAAUAAGCAUCGGCUAACUCCG
rnacentral:rRNA from 1 species